UUUUGCCAAAUAGAUACAGAGUAGGAAGAAGAUGAAAAGUCUAUUAAUGAAACAAUAUAUAUAAUCAUAAAUCGAAAUAGUGCGUCGUUUCUGUUUUCAAUUAAGUUUUUUUAUUUUUUUUAUAAAACUAUUAUUUCGUGUAAACAUAGUUUUUUUUUGUAAUCAAACCAUAAAUAAUAAAUUAGAUUUGAUUAAUGUUGGUUAUUUUUGAUAAAACAUUGUUACCUUUAAGAUUUUUUAACACUAAUCGAAUUUCCAAAUAUAUUCC
rnacentral:lncRNA from 1 species